GUUGUGGCUCAGUGGCAGAGUGCUUGCCUCGCACAUGUGCAGCACUGGGUUCGAUCCUCAGCACCACA
rnacentral:tRNA from 1 species